CCUGUGCCGUGGUGUUUUUCUUGAAGCCUUAGAACCAGAAACACAGAAAGCAAGAAACCAGGCAAGCAGUCCACGCUAGGCCCGGUGCAAAGGCAGGCCGGUGUGUUUGGGUCAUGGUCCAGGCAAAGGCCUCCUGAGAUCUCCUGGUAAUUCUUCCCGGGGUUCGGCACCCAGCCUCGGAAACAGCACAGCUCAAAACACAGGGACUUCCUCGUAUUAGAUGAUCCUCAACUCGGGUGUCAUCGAGACCCGUUCACUUACUUAUCCCACAGCCAUGAGCCUACCCUGUCCCAAGCAGUUCACUACCCUAAUACGGGCUGCGUGCUCACUACCUGGAUGGCAAUGUGCUAAGCGCUGUCCUUGCGUUAUGUCAUUUAAUCCUUUCAACAGCCUGUCAGGUAGGUUUUUUUGGUUUUGUGUUGUUGUUGUUGUUUUUUACAGUGGAUGCUCUCUCAAUGGCCCUCUACUUAACAGAACCAGAGCAAUCUAUGCCUGCCAGCAUCUCUGUAAAGCGGCCUGCCUGGAACCAACAGCAGGUGACCCGUCUAGACCUAAAGUCCACGCUCUUAACCUCUACAGAGUCUUGGGGCACAACCAGGGCCCAGACACAAGGCUGAGUCUGCCUCAAAUCUGGGCAAGGCCUUGCAGAAUGGACCCUAGGCAAGUUAAUUUUUCUUUUCUAAUCCUCUCUUUCCUCUAGGAAACUGGACUGGGUCCGAGGCCACACCUCUGGGAGGCCUAAUGGACUAAGCCCGGGAAGGGCAGGAUCGGAAGAUACUCGCGGAGUCUUGCGGGCUCGGCCUGUGCAGAUAUACCUGGCAGUCCUAAGUGGAAGGCAGAAGACGGUGCCUGGCAGGAGUGACCAACUGCAAAAGACUUCUCACUAGACCUCCUGAGACUGAGUCGGUGUAAUUCCCUCUGCUAGAUGCUGGGGACAACUCGCUAAAAGAUGAGUAAGCCCCUGAGGGCCCGUCUACCGCACAGGAAGGCAGACACUGGACACAAACCAAUGGAAGCUGAGGGCAACAUGCUCAGUGUGGGCUGAUGAGAAGUCCCAACUUCACAAUUACGUGUUACGGCAGAGCUUGGGAUAGGCUGCUUGGAUAAGCUUCCCAGUUUCCAGUAUCAGAAGGGUUUUCACUGGGGUGGCUGUAUUUGGGAGAAACCUCAGAAGCUGGGUGGAUAUGUAAGUGGCAAGUUCUUAGCCUCCUCAAGACACUGUCUCUUACUCCCUGGGAGAAGGUGUUUUUCUUUUUUUUUUUUAACCUUCUGUAUUUUGAAAUAUAAUAUAGAGAAAACCGCACAAACCAAAAAUGUACAGCUUAAUAAAUUAUCAUAAACCACUUCCUGGGUCAAGAAACAGACUGAUGGCGGGACCUCAGAAGCUCUCCUUGUACACCCUCCCAAUUAACCUCCCUGCAUCCAAAGACAGUAUUUAUAUAUGGCCUUUUAUGGUAAUCAUCCCCUUCUUUCUUUUUUUUUUUUUUUUCAGCAAGACAGCAUGGUGGGGGUGGGUGUGGUGGGCAGCGGGAGAGGGAGAGAGGAUCAAGAGAGGAUCCACGCCCAGCAUGGAGCCCAACGUGGAGC